ACAACUGGCUCAGUGGCAGAUCACCUGCUUUGCAUGCAGAAGGACCCAGGUUAAAUCCCUGGUAUCUCUA